GCUCUAAUAGCAAGAAGUGCUUCAUGCAGGAGGUAAGUCCCAAGGCAUCUAUGCAGAACAAAGAGGGAAGUUGUGGGGCAACAAGUCAUCCCCCUAAAGAAGGGGUGCCUUGGGGAAACAAGCCAGGCUCCUAAUCAGCCCCCAUCCAUCCCAAGCCAAGCAGGAGGGAUGAACUGGACACAUUUUUCCCUUUUAAGGGGAAUGGGAGCCAGAAGGGGAGGGAUUUUGAAGUUCUCUGCUUCCUCUACUACUGAGGAAAAUAAGGGUCUGGCUUUGAACCCUGAGCAGGCUCUUGACAGUAAGCCCUAAGAGUAAAUUUCUCCCCUCAAAAAAUCCUUCAGGCAGCAAUAUCCCUCACUUCUUUGAGCAAGUGAUCAGGGAAGGAACAAGCCUGAGAGGGGCAAGGAUAUGAAUAAGAGCAAUCUCAGGCUCUGUAACAUUCAAGAACCAAAGGGCUCUAUUGGUGAGAUGACAAAUGUUGAUGCCACUGUUCCCUCUGAAGAAGAAUUCUACUGUGAGGAGUACAGAGAUAGAAUGACAAAGGGCUUUGAAGCAUUCUCCUCCACUGUCAGAUUCGCUGCCUUUGCAAGAGCUUCCCUUUCCUGGCUGGAGGAUCUCUGUUCUCAAGGGCUUUCACUCUGACUUUGGCUCCUUAAAAAAAUACUAGCAAAAGCUGCUGUAUCCCUUAGUAAAUCUCCAAAGUGCUUCAUAAAGGAGGUAGACAAACCACCUUAUCAAGACAAAGAACUUCUGAUCCCAUAGUGCCUUUUUAGACUAAUUUUUCAGCAGGGCCCAUGCUUUGUUUAAUGCACAGGUUUGACUUUAAUGGGCUUACUCAAAUCUCUAUAUUCACAGCCUUUCCAGGUAACAUUGACCUACAGGGUCUAGGAUUAAAUACCAGAGCAUUUUCAGCACCAAUGGUACAAGUUAGAUUAAUCUUCUGUAGGGCCUUUUUUUAGGAAUAGCUUUUUCACAAAAAGUGCCUUCAAUUGGAAAUCUGUUGGGAAGGGAGAAAACACUAGAUAUGAACAAGGCUGGGUGUGGUGAGUAGAUAUUCCCUUAGUGGCCACAAUACUGUUUGGUGAUUUGAUAGUUGUUGUUUUUAAAACAGCCUUACAAUCUGGUCUGAGAUAGAUCUUUAUUAACUGAACAGCACUAUUGUGAAAAUCUGGAGGAUUCUAGGUAAUGAAUAAUGCUGGGGUCCACCCAUUGAACAUACUGUACAGCUAUCAGCACAUACACUGUCCAGCCUGCACACAAUAGCACAGGAUUCCUGUAGAGAAGAGAAACAACUUGAAACCAGCUGGGUUUUUUGGGGAAGGGGGUUGUUUGAGAGUAAUACAACGUCCCCUGUAUUGCCAAUUCUGGCUCUAAAGUUCUCCUUCCCUAUGUUUUUGUGUGUAUGAAAAACUCAAGCCAACUGGCUUCAUCAGAUGCUGCUAUAUACAAAGCAAACUGAUUAUUUAAUCCUUCAGUUCUUAACUUAAAAAAAAAACAAAAUCUGUUCAGAACUAAAUUCACAGUAUUCUCUAGUACUAAGACCUGCACGAGCAACCAUCAAUCUAUUAUUUAACUUGAAUGCUGCUCUUCACAUCAUUGAAAUGGAACACGAGGAGAGGGGGAACAAGCACCACUAAGCAACAGUGUAUAGUGAUCAUGUGGAAAUGCCUGAAGUUUGGAGUUCAUGGUGUGUGUACAUCUAUUUGAAGGCAAAAGAAAGUAAUACAUUGAUGGCUACACUUCAAGGCAGGAUGAUUUUAAUAGUGUUGUGUAGAAGAGUUACCAAGUAUUUUAUGCAAUAGGCAGAACAGAAAAUUCAAAGGAUCACAUUAACAUUAACUGUGGUAAAUGCGGAGACUAAAUUCAGGCUCUUGAAGUAUGAAAUGGAGGGAUCUUAGUCCUGAUUUAAUUGAAAAGCUCAACCAAGUCUUAACUAUGCAGGCACUACUGAGGCUUCAGUAAUAUGUAAGAAUAUUGGAAGUUCUUUUAAUAUUAAUAAUCAAUAUUCUUUUUCCAGCAUUGCCUUUUUAAGAGUUUGUAAAUAUUACCUCUCUUCCAUUUGUUUCAUAGUAGACAUCAUCUGAUUUGUUUUUCCUUCAAAAGAGGAUAUUGUUUCUUUUUUCUGUUGCAGUGAGCUCUCUGAAUUCUGUAAGAAGAAAUUUGAGCAAAUAAUUUCACAUAAAUUCUUCUUUAAUAUUCCAAAGCAUAACCAAAACAAUAAGGUUUAGAGCCAAAGUUUAGUGCUUGAGAAAGAAAAUCAAGGAUAUUUUGAAGAAUUUGAUGCAGUCAGAAGAAAACUGAAAAGGGCAAGAUGUACUAAAUGGUGUUCUCUGUUUUGAUGUACCAGAGAGGGAGUAAUGGGAGAGCAAAGGUCAGGGAGUUGGCAUAGGAGUGGUUCUUGAGAUCAGGCAACUGAAGGCGGAGGAGAUAACAAUGGAGGAUUGGGAACAUUAGAGGUUGCGAGGAAAGGAAGAGGACAGUAGUUAAAGGGCUAUAUUAGGAGAUAAGGAGAAUUAAGGGGAUAUAACACUACUGUUGGCACACCUUAAAACAAAAAGCUAAGAAAAUGAAAGGAUACAACUGAUUCAAGGAUCUCGAGUCAGUGUUUGAUUUUAAUUGUAUCAUCAGCACCAGCUGGAAUAGUACUAAAGAAGUUAAAAAGUGAAAGAGGAACACCCCUGUUUCUCCUUUAGGAGCCAACAGUCACACACCAUCUCUCAAAUCUGUGUUAAGGGAGAAGUGAAAAAACCCAAGCAACACACAAUUUUUAAAGGGCUACUUGGGCAGGAUGAGAAAAGUCCUAAGAGCUAUUAAUUGGACCAUGGUAUUUCAAAAGAAGAUAAAUGGGAGCAGGGGGGCCGGUCUUUUAAGUAAAAAUUCAACACAAUCAAAAGCUUCUCUUUUUAGAAAUAAACACUCAAAGGAAAUGAAGUGAUCGGGCUGGAUGAACGUGGAGGGUAACUUAAAGAGAUCAGUGACAGUGCUUAACAAAAAAGGAAGUGAAGAUGCAUAUAUAGAAGCUGAGACAGGGCAAAUGUCAGACCAGAACAGGAAGAUGCAAAUGUAGUACUGGAAGUAGGAGUAUAUGAAGAGACACAGGGUGGUGAAAAUAUAGGUACAAUUAAAAAUGAAAUGAACAGAUGAACAAAUGAAAAAGUACCUCACUAGUGUAACUAAAGCUUACUGUUAUUAGACUGUGUGCGCAAAUAUUGAUUUGCACCUGCAAGUUUUUGUUGGCUAACUUACACUUCUGUAGCACCUUUCAUCUUAAUAUUUUCAAUUGCUUUACAGACAUCAAGGAAUCUUCGUAAUACUCCUGAGGUAGAUCAGUAUUUUACCCAUUUUGAGGAAACAGGAAGUAUAUGACUUACCUAAUGUCACAUAGGAAGUCAGUGAGAGAGUAGGGAACACAACCUAGGGGAUUCUAUUUUUCCACGCUGCAGAAUGCAAGUAACUCCCAGUUUGAUCUUAUGGCCCGAUCUGCUCCAAGGAACUAAACUUACGUAGUCUAGUGGCUUGAACAGAGGACCAAUAGGCAAGACUCCUGGGACCCUAUUCUCCCCCUGUAUAACAAGAAACUGACUGAUUUUUUUAGUGCAUUCUCUUCAGGGUACCAAAUGGUAUUCAAAAAGGGAAUUUAUAUAAUAAUUUACAACUAAAGUCUACACAACUUACAAUAAAGACACAUGACAUCUGGUAAGAGAAAACUAUGGAAGGAAGGUUAAAGAUAGGUGUUACGGAAGGACUUCUCAGAGGAUUAUUGACUAGUAAAGCUAUCCAGCACAUAUUGAUACAACAUACAUAACAGAGUCUGCAACAAAGAUAAUUGUAUACUUGCAACAAGGAACACGUGUAUGGAUUACCAAACAGCAAGACAAUAUUUUUAGUUCUCUCCAUCUACAAAUUUGAUAUAUUUACCUGGGAUUUGUGAAACAUCUGCAAAUUAAUAGCUUUAACUUCUUCCAACUGUUGGCGAAGAGCAACCAAAGUGUCUUGUUUUUCAUGAGUAUCUUUUUCCAGUAGUUUCAUGGCAAUUUCCAUUUCUGUUUUCAUUCCAAUCUGCAGCUCCAACUCUUUCUCUAAUUCCUUAGAAGAAGAUUUCCUAAUUAUUGCUAUAUAGGGCAUGAAUCACGUGUAAGAAAUUUCUAAUGUGCUAAACCUACAUGAAACUUGUCUGUGUAUUAUGUCCAAGGAAUAACGUUGAGUUAUUUUAUAUGUAAUGAGACAAACAGCCCAAAUAACACAAUAUGAGUAAGUUAGUAAGAAUGGUAAGAAGGAAAGCAGCACACAGUAUAUUCUAACUCUCAGCAUUCUGCUACUUUAUUUUAUUUGCAGUCCUGCUCUAGACAGUAGAACUGAAUGUUUAAGUCAGCCUUCUCCAUUCUGGGUAUUUCUUUCCAGGUAGGGACUGGCUACAGGAGCAGAAAGUCUGAAAUGAAGCAGAGGGCUCUUAAUCCAGCCAGACCAUAACUGCUGAGAGAAUGCUCCACCUGAGAGGUGACUGCUAUAAGUCACAACAAUGCAUGACCGCAAAGAAAAAAAAGACAGUUGCUUUUUUGUGUUGAUAAUUUAAAAAGCAUUAAAAAUAUAGUAUUCAUUGUAAUAGUCUAGCAAAUGAGAGGAGGACUUCAUUCUUAACUUUCCAUGAGCUCUGUGUUUUGUUUUCUUUAUGGACUGUUGCUGUCCAUUUGUUUGAGCUAUUCUGAGAAAGAUGCUUGAAAAUCCACUGUGGAGCAAGGAGCCUGGAUUCAAGCAAUCCACAGCAUUUUCUGUAUUACAUGCUUAUAAUGUUAUAGCACUAACAAUAAAGACGAAAAACCAUAAA